rnacentral:lncRNA from 1 species
UGCACAUAGUUUUUGUUUGGUUUUUCCAACAAUGCCGUUUCUUCCUGAACCUAAGGUUUCAGGAUAAACCCAAGCCGAGACAGAACUCGCUUUGAAUAAACGUCCACAUCCUUCCAGGAGAACUAUGCAAAACGACAGGCCAUUUGAAUGGAGCUCUUUCAACAUCUUAAAAACCAACAGUCUCAAAUCCCAUCCACCCUCUUAACUCACCCUGGAACCAGACCUUCGAGGGACAGAAAAGUUGAGGUCUCUUCCAGCUCCAGCGCUUUGGAUGUGUGGGUUUCCCGAGAGUCUUCGACGAUUCGAGAUGGCGCUCUUGGCGGUUCCUCUACUACUGCUUAUCAACAUGGCGCAUGGCCUUCCCCAAGAUGACUCAAUCUGCCCCUCAGGCUCAUCUGCAUUCUUAUCCAGUUGUUUAAUCUACAUGAACCAGAACCUGAGCUGGUUUCAGGCACGGGAUAAUUGCCAGCAAGAAGACUCCGACUUGGUCUCUAUCCAGAAUGACCGGGAGGCUUUAGAGGUGGUCACGGUGAUUAGACAGUACCUGCCGGGCAUCGAGAACAUCUGGAUUGGACCAAACAACCUCACUCGGAACGAACAAUGGAAAAACCAAGAAGCUCCUAUAAACAGACCACGCUCUCUAGUACCCGACCCGAAGGGAAAGGCCCAAAGGAGUGAGAUGUGUGUGGAACUCAUGGUUUCUCAAGAACUCCCGAAAUGGAACAAUGCCAACUGUGACGAGAAGAAAACAUUCUUCUGCCAAAAGCUACCUCUCCAUCCAAAGUCUCCCGUCACAAGUAGAAGUGUAAGCCAAGUAAACAAAAAAUCAAAGGUCAGUGUGGUAACAAAGGAAAGCGAAAUGGACGUGGUCAGCAAGGAUGCCAGACGUAGCGAAGGCAAAAAGUUCACCGGAGAUGUAAAAGACAACGGAGAUGCGAAGGUUGACGUAGGUACAAAAGGUAACCAAGAACCGAGGAUUGGCGUGGACACAACCGUGAGACAUAGUUCACAAGUCUGCACUGAUCCAAAAGAAAACCAGGGUAUGAAGGUGACCAAAGAUACAAGAGAUCAUGAAGGCCUAAAGCUUAUAAAAGACACCAAAGACAAAGGAGAUUUAAAAGUCAGAGAAGAUACCAAAGAAAGUGAGCUCCCAAAUACCGGUCUAUAUGUCCAAACUGACAAAGUUUUGAAGGGUGGAAAAAAUUCAAGCAACGAUAAAGUCCAAUCUGGGGGCCAAGGGGCGAAGGAAGACGAUGAAGGAGCCAGACGUCACUGGAGAACGAAAAAUCCACAAACAGCAAAUGACAACAGCACUUUCACUAAGCCCUCAAUCACCAUGAAGGUCCUCAUCCUGGCCUGCCUGGUGGCUGUUGCCGUGGCAAUGCCCGUGAGUAU